rnacentral:rRNA from 1 species
UACGGGGGGGGCAAGCGUUGUUCGGAAUUACUGGGCGUAAAGGGCGCGUAGGCGGCCUUCUAAGUCAGACGUGAAAUCCCACGGCUUAACCGUGGAACUGCGUCUGAUACUGGAGGGCUUGAAUCCGGGAGAGGGUAGUGGAAUUCCCGGUGUAGCGGUGAAAUGCGUAGAGAUCGGGAGGAACACCAGUGGCGAAGGCGGCUACCUGGACCAGCACUGACACUGAGGCACGAAAGCGUGGGGAGCAAACAGG